UGAGGAAUAUUGGUCAAUGGACGCAAGUCUGAACCAGCCAAGUAGCGUGCAGGAUGACGGCCCUAUGGGUUGUAAACUGCUUUUAUAUGGGGAUAAAGUGGGGAACGUGUUCCCUGUUGCAGGUACCAUAUGAAUAAGGACCGGCUAAUUCCGUGCCAGCAGCCGCGGUAAUACGGAAGGUUCGGGCGUUAUCCGGAUUUAUUGGGUUUAAAGGGAGCGUAGGCCGUUUGGUAAGCGUGUUGUGAAAUGUAGGAGCUCAACUUCUAGAUUGCAGCGCGAACUGUCAGACUUGAGUGCGCACAACGUAGGCGGAAUUCAUGGUGUGGCGGUGAAAUGCUUAGAUAUCAUGAAGAACUCCGAUUGCGAAGGCAGCUUACGGGAGCGCAACUGACGCUGAAGCUCGAAGGUGCGGGUAUCGAACAGG
rnacentral:rRNA from 1 species